UGAAAAGCCAGAGGAAUGGGACAAACAUUUGGAUCCUGUCAUGUUUGGCCUGAGAACCAAGCGCCAUAUGACCACUAAGUACUCACCCUUUUUUUUAAUGUUUGGUAGAGAGGCGAGGUACCCUACUCAAAUCCCAGAUGAAUACAGAGUGGACAGCAGUGUAGAGGACAUUUUGUCUGUUGAAGAGGCAACAGAAGAAAUUCUUAAGCUGGAUGAAGUCCUUCAGACUGCUAUUUCCAAUUGCAAAAAAACACAGUCAAAAUAUCAAAACAAAAAUAAAGGCAGACCUACUCCGAGUUUUACAGUUGGCAUGAAAGUGUGGAGGAUGAACACGAGGAGCCAGCAGAGGAAAGGGGGAAAGUUAGAUCGCAAUUACCUCGGCCCCUACACAAUUGCUGCAAUAUCAGGAAAAAGUGUGGAUCUUUUGGACAGCAAAGGUGUGACAAUACCAAAAAUUAACAUUGACCAUUUAAUGGUGUUCACAGAGGAACAGCCAAGAAUUCCACAUAAGUUGUCUAAUGCUUCUUCUUCUGAGCCAUCCACCACCACCACAUCCACAGUCGGGCCCCCAACCACCACGUCCACCUGUGAAACAUCCACUACUACGUCCACCUCUGAACCAUCCACCACCACAUCCACCUCUGAAACAUCCACCACCAUGUCCACACCUGUGUCAGACACCAAUGCAUUGUCCAGUGCCGCUCUGGGCAUGAUGCAUGCCUCCACUGCCUCUGUAAAAUCUACAGCAGACCCCUCGAUCAUCAAGAAUGUGACAGAUGCAUGGGAGGGAAAUAAGACGUAUGUCCUCCUGUCAAAAAUCGGACCAUACAAGAUAUUCUUUCAAGACAUUUACAAUACAGCUCCCCAAAGGGAACUAGAAAGUGAGGUAAAGUGA
rnacentral:lncRNA from 1 species